GCCCGGUUAGCUCAGCCGGUAGAGCGUUGAAAUUUUAAUCCAACGGUCAAAGGUUCA
rnacentral:tRNA from 1 species